rnacentral:rRNA from 1 species
AACGAACGCUGGCGGCAUGCCUAACACAUGCAAGUCGAACGAGACCUUCGGGUCUAGUGGCGCACGGGUGCGUAACGCGUGGGAACCUGCCCUUAGGUUCGGAAUAACUCCCCGAAAGGGGUGCUAAUACCGGAUAAUGUCUUCGGACCAAAGAUUUAUCGCCUUUGGAUGGGCCCGCGUAGGAUUAGCUAGUUGGUGGGGUAAAGGCCUACCAAGGCGACGAUCCUUAGCUGGUCUGAGAGGAUGAUCAGCCACACUGGGACUGAGACACGGCCCAGACUCCUACGGGAGGCAGCAGUGGGGAAUAUUGGACAAUGGGCGAAAGCCUGAUCCAGCAAUGCCGCGUGAGUGAUGAAGGCCUUAGGGUUGUAAAGCUCUUUUACCAGGGAUGAUAAUGACAGUACAUGGAGAAUAAGCUCCGGCUAACUCCGUGCCAGCCGCCGCAGUAAAAC